GCCAGUUCUCCUGUGAGCCUCCCAGAGCACUGAUUUCCCUGAUUUCCCUGCUAUUAAGACAGCAGCCCUGCUCUGGAGAGAUCAGCCUCGCUGGAGACAAACUGCCUGUCAGCAAACAGCACUAAAUACAGGGUAUCAUACUCCACAGAUGAUGGCAUGCUUUUAGUGUUUUCUCUCUUGGAUGCAGGUCACACCACUAAUGUCAUCUCCAAACACCGAAAUCCUACAUGUGAAAAGGAUGCUGGCCACAGCUGGCUGAUGUGACAUCCACAUGAUGAGAUAAGAACUCAGAUGAAUCUUGACUUCAGAAGUUUGACAAGACAGAGCAGGGUCCCCGUUGCCCAGAAAGAAAGCAUCACAUUCCUCCCUGGAGUAAUCAAUACAAAGCAUGAAGUCAGAUCAGAGAGAAGAGAUGAGAAGUGGAAGAAGAGUGGAAGAGAAGUAGGAAAAGUGGAACAUUAAGACAGAAAAACAGACUAAACACAGACCUGAAACCCUAGAAAUCGUAAUAAACC